UAUAUAAAUAUAUAUAAAUAGAAAUCUUAAUAAAAUAUUAAAAUAAAAUCUUAACUAAAUCUUAGUCAAAACCUAAUCAAACCUUGAUCAAAUUUUAGUCAAAUCUUAGUCAAACCUUAAUCAAAUUCUUUUCAAAUCCUAGUCUAAUCCUAAAUAAAUCUUAACCAAAUUUUAGACAAAUCCUAGUCAAAUCCUAAUCAAAUCUUUUAAAAAUUUUAAAUAAAUCCUAAUCAAAUCCUAAAUAAAUCCUAGUCAAAUCCCAGAAAAAUCUUUGUCAAAUCCUAAACAAAUCAUAAUCAAAUCUUAAUUGAUCUUUAUCAAUCUUAAAAAAUCUUAAUCAAAUCCUAAUCAAAUCUUAAAAAAAUCUUAAUCAAAUCCUAAUCAAAUCCUAAAUAAAUCCUAGUCAAAUUCUAAACAAAUCCUAACCAAAUCUUAAUCAAAUCCUAAAUAAAUCCUAAUCAAAUCCUAAAUAAAUCCUAAUCAUAUCCUAAUCAAAUCUUAAAUCAAAUCCAAAUUCUAAAUCAAAUCUUAAAUCAAACCUUAAAUCCUAAUCAAAUCUCAAUCCUAACCAAAUC
rnacentral:lncRNA from 1 species